CAGGGUUCAAAGAUGCUUCUAUGUGGUC
rnacentral:piRNA from 1 species